rnacentral:rRNA from 1 species
UACAGAGGCCUCAAGCGUUGUUCGGAUUUAUUGGGCGUAAAGGGUGCGUAGGCGGUACCGCAAGUUAGGUGUGAAAGUUCGAGGCUUAACCUCGAAAUUGCACCUAAUACUCCGGUGCUUGAGUCUCAUAGAGGAAUCUGGAAUUCACGGUGUAGCAGUGAAAUGCGUAGAUAUCGUGAAGAAGGCCUGUGGCGAAAGCAAGAUUCUGGGUGACGACUGACGCUGAGGCACGAAAGCCAGGGGAGCAAACGGG